GAUGAAGAACGUAGCGAAAUGCGAUAAGUAAUGUGAAUUGCAGAAUUCAGUGAAUCAUCGAGUCUUUGAACGCACAUUGCGCCCCCUGGUAUUCCGGGGGGCAUGCCUGUCCGAGCGUCAUUGCUGCCCUCAAGCACGGCUUGUGUGUUGGGCCCCCGUCCCCGGUUUCCCCCGGGGACGGGCCCGAAAGGCAGCGGCGGCACCGCGUCCGGUCCUCGAGCGUAUGGGGCUUUGUCACCCGCUCUGUAGGCCCGGCCGGCGCCAGCCGACACCCAACUUUAUUUCUAAGGUUGACCUCCGAUCAGGUAGGGAUACCCGCUGAACUUAAGCAUAUCAAUAAGCGGAGGA
rnacentral:misc_RNA from 1 species